CAGAUAGAGGCGCACCGCACCAUGAGUAUGCCGGCUGCAAGGCAGCGCAGCCGUUGGCCGGCAAAAAGGGGUGGGUGCCGAAGGCGAGGCCCGGCGCAGGCUUCGUGCUGGGCCGGUCAGCGAACAGCUGUCGGACUGUCGCACCCCGGUGCGGAGAGCUAUCUU
rnacentral:ncRNA from 1 species